AGUGAACGCUGGCGGUAGGCCUAACACAUGCAAGUCGAACGGCAGCACAGUAAGAGCUUGCUCUUACGGGUGGCGAGUGGCGGACGGGUGAGGAAUACAUCGGAAUCUACUUUUUCGUGGGGGAUAAUGUAGGGAAACUUACGCUAAUACCGCAUACGACCUACGGGUGAAAGCAGGGGAUCUUCGGACCUUGCGCGAUUGAAUGAGCCGAUGUCGGAUUAGCUAGUUGGCGGGGUAAAGGCCCACCAAGGCGACGAUCCGUAGCUGGUCUGAGAGGAUGAUCAGCCACACUGGAACUGAGACACGGUCCAGACUCCUACGGGAGGCGGCAGUGGGGAAUAUUGGACAAUGGGCGCAAGCCUGAUCCAGCCAUACCGUGUGGGUGAAGAAGGCCUUCGGGUUGUAAAGCCCUUUUGUUGGGAAAGAAAAGCAGCAGGUUAAUACCCCGCUGUUCUGACGGUACCCAAAGAAUAAGCACCGGCUAACUUCGUG
rnacentral:rRNA from 1 species